UACGUCAGACACCUGUAUUUGACUUUCAGACCAGCCGACAUAAACUGUUUGUAGAUAUGAGAAUUUAAAUUACAGUGUGGCCUUUGGCCAUUUAUAAACAUGGAAUAAAAUAAUAGAACAGAAUGAUCACAAUGGAAUUAAAAGAUAUCCCCUGCGAUAAUACAACACUGCCGCCAAUCCUCUUGGCAUAGCAACCAACAAUAAUCUUCACCGUAUUAUUUUAAAAGCAGCUGAUUGAAUGUGGCCCAGUCGUUUUCGUCGGUGUAGACUCUGGUUCGUCAAAGAUCGGGGGUCUUCGGAGUUCUCAGAUCUUCGGGACUCGGGGCGGCUGAAGCCGCGAAGUAUGCGUGGCA
rnacentral:lncRNA from 1 species